rnacentral:rRNA from 1 species
UACGAAGGGUGCAAGCGUUAUUCGGAAUCACUGGGCGUAAAGAGCGCGUAGGCGGCUUAUUAAGUUGGUUGUUAAAUACCUUGGCUCAACCAAGGAACUGCAGUCAAAACUGAUUUGCUAGAGGAUAAGAGAGAGAAGUGGAAUUCUCGGAGUAGCGGUAAAAUGCGUAGAUCUCGAGAGGAACACCGGUUGCGAAGGCGGCUUCUUGGCUUAUUCCUGACGCUGAGGUGCGAAAGCGUGGGGAGCAAACAGG